GCGCACACGCUCGCACGCGAACGCAGGAAAGUCGGGCUAAAAGUGUCUGCUGCCGCCGCCGCCCCCCGCUCCGCCUCCGGGAGAGAACCCAAAGAAAUGGUGUUACCUGGCAAGAGAUCUGCUGUCUUUUAUGAAAAAUCAGACCAAGAGCCCUGAAACCACAAAAACAAUAAUCAAAGGGAAGAACUGUUGAGGAAUACAACAUAAAUCAGAAUUUCAGAGUGGGAUAUCAGGUCUUUAGUGUGAAGCC